AUUGAACGCUGGCGGCAUGCCUUACACAUGCAAGUCGAACGGCAGCACGGGUGCUUGCACCUGGUGGCGAGUGGCGAACGGGUGAGUAAUACAUCGGAACGUACCUUAUCGUGGGGGAUAACGCAGCGAAAGCUGUGCUAAUACCGCAUACGCCCUGAGGGGGAAAGCGGGGGAUCGCAAGACCUCGCGCGAUUAGAGCGGCCGAUGCCUGAUUAGCUUGUUGGUGGGGUAAAAGCCCACCAAGGCGACGAUCAGUAGCUGGUCUGAGAGGACGAUCAGCCACACUGGGACUGAGACACGGCCCAGACUCCUACGGGAGGCAGCAGUGGGUAAUUUUGGACAAUGGGGGCAACCCUGAUCCAGCAAUGCCGCGUGAGUGAAGAAGGCCUUCGGGUUGUAAAGCUCUUUUGUCAGGGAAGAGACACCGGCUCUAACACAGUCCGGGAAUGACGGUACCUGAAGAAUAAGCACCGGCUAACUACGUGCCAGCAGCCGCCGUAA
rnacentral:rRNA from 1 species